CAAGGGAGAAAGAAUUGAAAAAGCAAAAGGCUUUAGAGAAAGCUGCUAAACUGCAGGCGCAACAAACAUCAACUAAUAGAAAAAAGAGUGAAAAGAAAAUGGUGAAGCGUGGGGGGAAGGAAGAGAAUUCUGAGGACUUUUUUGACCCUGAAACACCUUUUGGCGAGAAGAAAAGACUGUCUAGUCAAAUGGCAAAGCAGUACAGUCCUACUGCAGUUGAGAAAUCGUGGUAUGCAUGGUGAGAGAAAUCUGGGUUCUUUGUUGCAGAUGCGAAGAGCUCCAAACCCCCAUUUGUUAUCAUCUUGCCACCUCCAAACGUGACUGGUGCCCUCCAUAUAGGCCAUGCCCUUACUGCUGCUGUAGAGGAUACGAUUAUUUGCUGGCGGAGAAUGUCUGGAUACAAUACCUUGUGGGUUCCUGGUAUGGACCAUGCUGGGAUUGCAACACAGGUUGUUGUGGAAAAGAAGAUAAUUCGUGAAAGAAAAUUAACCAGGCAUGACAUUGGUCGAGAGAAAUUCAUAUCUGAAGUCUGGGAUUGGAAAAACAAGUACGGUGGCACCAUUUUACAACAAUUACGUUGUUUGGGUGCCUCUCUAGAUUGGUCUUGUGAGUGCUUCACAAUGGAUGAGAAAAGAUCAAGAGCUGUGACCGAAGCUUUUGUUAGGCUUUACAAGGAAGAACUUGUUUAUAGAGGUGAACAUCUAGUGAAUUGGGAUUGUGUGUUACGGACUGCUAUAUCUGAUAUUGAGGUAGAGCAUAUUGAAAUCAAAGAAAGGACUUUACUAAAUGUUCCAGGAUAUGAGAAACCUGUGGAAUUUGGUGUUUUAACUUCAUUUGCUUACCCUUUGGAAGGGGAGCUUGGUGAAAUUGUUGUGGCUACUACUAGAGUGGAAACUAUGCUUGGAGAUACAGCAAUUGCUAUACAUCCUGAUGAUCCAAGGUACAAUCAUCUUCAUGGAAAAUUUGCCAUUCAUCCCUCUAAUGGAAGAAAGCUUCCUAUAGUUUGUGAUGCGACUCUUGUUGAUCCGAAGUUUGGGACAGGUGCUGUUAAGGUUACCCCGGCUCAUGACCUGAAUGAUUUUGAAUUUAAAGAGUGUCAUAAUUGUGAGUCCAUCAACAUUUUUACUGAUGAUGGGAAAAUAAACAGCAGUGGUGGCUCAGAGUUUGCAGGGAUGCCACGAUUUAAAGCUCGAGAGGCAGUUAUUGAAUCAUUACAAAAGAAGGGUCUUUAUAGAGGUGCUAAAGGUAAUGACAUGCGUCUUGGCAUAUGUUCAAGAACCAAUGAUGUUGUUGAGCCACUUUCAAAGCCCCAAUGGUAUGUUAAAUGCAAUAGUAUGGAGAGGCAAGCCCUAACCAACGAUGUUGUGGAGCCACUUUCAAAGCCCCAAGGGUGUGUUAAAUGCGAUAGUAUGGCAAGGCAAGCCCUUAAUGCUGUCGAGGACAAGAAGAUUGAGAUCAUCCCGAAACAGUAUGCUGCUGACUGGAAGAGAUGGCUUGAAAACAUUCGUGAUUGGUGUGUCUCAAGGCAACUUUGGUGGGGUCACCGUGUCCUUGCAUGGUAUGUCACUCUGGAGGAUGAUGAGCUGAAGGAAUUGGGUGCUUACAAUGACCGUGACCACUGGGUGGUUGCAAGAAAUGAGGAUGAGGCUUAGGAGGAGGCUAGUCAAAAAUAUAAUGGGAAGAAGUUUCUCUUAAGUCAAGAUCCUGAUGUGCUUGAUACAUGGUUUUCUUCUGGUCUCUUUCCAUUAACAGUUUUGGGCUGGCCAGAUGAUACAGAAGAUCUAAAGGCAUUUUAUCCGACUUCAGUUUUGGAAACUGGCCAUGAUAUUCUAUUUUUCUGGGUUGCUCGCAUGGUAAUGCUAGGAAUGAAGUUGGGUGGUGAAUCUGGAGAUGUACCUUUUAGAAAGGUUUAUUUGCAUCCCAUGAUUCGUGAUGCACAUGGGCGCAAGAUGUCUAUGUCCCUGGGAAAUGUCAUUGAUCCACUUGAAGUAAUAAAUGGGAUAUCCUUGGAAGGUCUUCAUAAGAGGCUAGAGGAAGGUAACUUAGAUCCAAAGGAACUGACUGUUGCUAAAGAGGGACACGGGAAAGACUUUCCUAAUGGUAUUCCCGAAUGUGGUACAGAUGCUCUCCGCUUCGCACUUAUUUCUUACACAGCUCAGUCUGAUAAAAUAAAUCUGGAUAUCCAAAGAGUGGUUGGGUAUCGUCAGUGGUGUAAUAAAUUGUGGAAUGCUGUACGAUUUGCUAUUAGCAAGUUUGGAAAUGAUUAUGUUCCGCCCGCAAAUGUAAAUCCGGAUAAAUUGCCAUUUAGCUGUCAAUGGAUACUCUCAUUAUUAAGCAAAGCCAUAUCCAAAACUAUUACGGCUUUGGAGUUGUAUGAACUCUCAAAUGCAGCAAGUACUGUGUAUUCAUGGUGGCAAUACCAACUGUGUGAUGUUUUUAUUGAAGCAAUUAAGCCUUUCUUUACCGGGAAUGAUCCAGAGUUUGAGUCUGCGAGAAGUUCUGCUUGAGACACACUUUGGUUAUGUCUUGACAAUGGGUUGCGAUUGCUUCAUCCUUUUAUGCCAUAUGUUACAGAAGAAUUAUGGCAGCGCCUUCCUUCAUCAAGGGACCAGACAGCGAUAGAAUCAAUUAUGAUGUGCAAGUAUCCAUCAAUUGUAGAGGGCUGGAGAAAUAAAAGGGUGGAAUAUGAUAUGGAUCUUGUAGAUUCUGCAGUGAAAUCUCUUAGGUCACUUGCAAAUGAAAGACGUGAAAGGCAAGCAGCUCUUGUGCUUUGCAGAGAUUCGGAAUUUGCAGAGAUUAUUAAAAGCCAUGAACUGGAAAUUACUACUCUUGCCAAUUUAUCAUCUUUGAGGGUAAUCAGUGAGAAUGAUGUGACUACGGCUGGAUGUGCGGUAUCUGUUGUAAAUGAAAACCUUUCUGUUUAUCUUGAGCUUCAAGGAACUCUUUCUCCAAAGGUAGAAUUUGAAAAGUAAGGUAAAAAGUGGAUGAGAUUCAAAAGCAACAGGACAGGCUGUCCAAGAUCAUGAGUGUUGAUGUGGCUUGUUUGGAAGGAGCGGAAUAAACCAACUUUUGAAGAUAUGGAGAGCUCCUUGGAUCAACUAAAACCUUUGUUCGCUCGAAUUUCUUUUUUGUUGGUCCCAAAUUUGGGGUUCUACCCAUUAUUCUUAUAUUUUAGAGUUCUAAAUUUUUCUUAGAUUUUUAUUAUUAUUAUUUUUUACUUUUGUACUCUUUUAACACUUUGUGUUCAUCAUUGUGAACAUAAAAGUUUAUAUUCUUUAAUGAAAAUUAGUAAGUUGUCCAUGCA